UUGAGAAACCCUGCUCUAGAGAAUAAAGUUCUCCAUUUAGCCUCAGUUCAGAUACAACAUAGGCAGUGGCAGUGCAAGCUUCCGCCACACUGCCCUUUAACUGUCUCAGCCCUGACAUGGGGAGACCACCUGUGGGUGUGGGUGUCUCUUCAUCCUGUUCCAUUUACUCCUUGACCUUA
rnacentral:sRNA from 1 species